rnacentral:rRNA from 1 species
UGGGGAAUUUUGGACAAUGGGCGCAAGCCUGAUCCAGCCAUUCCGCGUGCAGGACGAAGGCCUUCGGGUUGUAAACUGCUUUUGUACGGAACGAAAAGGCUCUGGCUAAUACCUGGGGCUCAUGACGGUACCGUAAGAAUAAGCACCGGCUAACUACGUGCCAGCAGCCGCGGUAAUACGUAGGGUGCAAGCGUUAAUCGGAAUUACUGGGCGUAAAGCGUGCGCAGGCGGUUAUGUAAGACAGAGGUGAAAUCCCCGGGCUCAACCUGGGAACUGCCUUUGUGACUGCAUAGCUGGAGUACGGCAGAGGGGGAUGGAAUUCCGCGUGUAGCAGUGAAAUGCGUAGAUAUGCGGAGGAACACCGAUGGCGAAGGCAAUCCCCUGGGCCUGUACUGACGCUCAUGCACGAAAGCGUAGGGAGCAAACA